GUGGGGAAUCUUCCACAAUGGACGAAAGUCUGAUGGAGCAACGCCGCGUGAGUGAAGAAGGGUUUCGGCUCGUAAAGCUCUGUUGUCGGGGACGAAUGUGCAGUAUUUGAAUAAAGUAGUGCAAUGACGGUACCUGACGAGGAAGCCACGGCUAACUACGUGCCAGCAGCCGCGGUAAUACGUAGGUGGCAAGCGUUGUCCGGAAUUAUUGGGCGUAAAGGGAGCGCAGGCGGGAAGGUACGCCGGUCGUAAAAGUGCGGGGCUCAACCCCGUGAGGGGAUCGAAACUAGCGUUCUGGAGUGCAGGAGAGGAAAGGGGAAUUCCUAGUGUAGCGGUGAAAUGCGUAAAUAUUAGGAGGAACACCAGUGGCGAAGGCGACUUUCUGGACUGUAACUGACGCUGAGGCUCGAAAGCCAGGGGAGCGAACGGGAUUAGAAACCCCUGUAGUCC
rnacentral:rRNA from 1 species